ACAUGACCGUACCGCAAACCGACACAGGUGGACGGGAUGAAUAUUCUAAGGCGCUUGAGAGAACUCAGGAGAAGGAACUCGGCAAAUUGAUACCGUAACUUCGGGAGAAGGUAUGCCCUGGUAGCGUGUUAAAGCGUGAAGGGGCCGCAGUGAAUCGGUGGCUGCGACUGUUUAUUAAAAACACAGCACUCUGCAAACACGAAAGUGGACGUAUAGGGUGUGACGCCUGCCCGGUGCUGGAAGGUUAAGUGAUGGGGUGCAAGCUCUUGAUCGAAGCCCCAGUAAACGGCGGCCGUAACUAUAACGGUCCUAAGGUAGCGAAAUUCCUUGUCGGGUAAGUUCCGACCUGCACGAAUGGCGUAACGAUGGCCACACUGUCUCCUCCUGAGACUCAGCGAAGUUGACAUGGUUGUGACGAUGCAAUCUCCCCGCGGCUAGACGGAAAGACCCCAUGAACCUUUACUAUAGCUUCACAUUGGAUUGUUAACCGGCCUGUGUAGGAUAGGUGGGAGGCGCUGAAAGCGGGACGCUAGUUUCGCUGGAGCCGUCCUUGAAAUACCACCCUGGUUUGUUGAUGGUUCUAACCUUGGCCCGUGAUCCGGGUUGGGGACAGUGUGUGGUGGGUAGUUUGACUGGGGCGGUCUCCUCCUAAACGGUAACGGAGGAGUUCGAAGGUACGCUAGGUACGGUCGGAAAUCGUGCUGAUAGUGCAUUGGCAAAAGCGUGCUUGACUGUGAGACUGACACGUCGAACAGGUGCGAAAGCAGGACAAAGUGAUCCGGUGGUUCUGAAUGGAAGGGCCAUCGCUCAACGGAUAAAAGGUACUCUGGGGAUAACAGGCUGAUACCGCCCAAGAGUUCAUAUCGACGGCGGUGUUUGGCACCUCGAUGUCGACUCAUCUCAUCCUGGGGCUGUAGCCGGUCCCAAGGGUAUGGCUGUUCGCCAUUUAAAGAGGUACGUGAGUUGGGUUUAAAACGUCGUGAGACAGUUUGGUCCCUAUCUGCCGUGGGCGUUGGAUACUUGACGGAGGCUGCUCCUAGUACGAGAGGACCGGAGUGGACGUACCGCUGGUGUACGGGUUGUCAUGCCAAUGGCAUUGCCCGGUAGCUAUGUACGGAAGAGAUAACCGCUGAAGGCAUCUAAGCGGGAAACUCGUCUGAAGAUAAGGUAUCCCGGAGGCUAGACCUCCCUGAAGGGUCGUUCGAGACCAGGACGUUGAUAGGCUGGGUGUGGAAGUGCAG
rnacentral:rRNA from 1 species